rnacentral:rRNA from 1 species
CGCAGCCGCGGUAAUCCCAGCUCCAAUAGCGUAUAUUAAAGUUGUUGCAGUUAAAAGCUCGUAGUUGAAUUUCGGGAUCAAUAUGUUGGUCGUGCCUCGGUACGUACUAGCAUAUUGGUUUCUCCUUUCUGAAGAACCAUGAUGUCAUUUAUUUGGUGUCGUGGGGAAUCAGGACUGUUACUUUGAAAAAUUAGAGUGUUUAAAGCAGGCUCACGCUUGAAUACAUUAGCAUGGAAUAAUGAAAUAGGACGUUUGAUCUAUUUUGUUGGUUUCUAGGAUCGACGUAAUGAUUAAUAGGGAUAGUUGGGGCAUUAGUAUUCAAUUGUCAGAGGUGAAAUUCUUGGGAUUUUUAUUGAAGACUAACUACUGCGAAAAGCAUUUUGCCAAGGAUGUUUCAUUAAUCAAGACG